UGCUGAAGGAGGCACUCGGCAUCAUCGGC
rnacentral:piRNA from 1 species